GCGGUCGUAGUACAUCGGUAGUAUGUGAGCUUCCCAAGCUUGAGAGGCGAGUUCGAUUCUCGCCGCCCGCACCA
rnacentral:tRNA from 1 species